UAUUGCGCCUCUCCUUUUUUUUUAUCUCUAUGGUGAUAAACUGUCCUAUGUACGCCGGGCGCGGUUUCGUAGAAUAAGUCAUCCUUUUCCGUGUGAGGGGGGAUAAUGGAGGCUGCGGAAGGCGUUGAGGUACGAGGCCGCCGAAAGGCUGAACAUGAACCGGACCGGCUCGCAGCCGAGGUGGCCGAAACAAGGCAGAACAUCUCCUGCGGGCCCCCUCUCUCCGGGACGUCCUACUGGCUGGACCUCUGGCUGAUGAUCCUCUUCGACCUCGUACUCUUCGUCUUCGUUUAUUUGCUCCCUUAGCGGCAGCAUCGGAGGGACAAUCAGACUGCCUUCAAGAAAAACCAGCUAAUGCUACUCCUUUAGCUGCUCUUGCUUCACGACCAAAAUAAAACAACACUGGAAAACUCUUUCAUCAGAAAUCUCAAUAAUAACUGCUCUUUCUAUAUUUGAAGUAUUGACAUAUUUUUGAUGAGCAAUUGGAUGUGGUGAACUUGCUCUAUGAUGAACUGUCAUGUUUCACAUUAUUCAAUAAGUGCAAAUUGUGCCUUACAUUAAAUAUAACACUAUCAUUGAACUGUUCAAUUAAGUUUGAAGUUAUCUAUUUUCAGCAAUCAACUCUGUACUACCAUCCAAGUGGACUGGAGAGGAAUAUCUCUGUAAUAGUAAUCUAUGAACUCCUAGCAUAAAAU